rnacentral:rRNA from 1 species
AUGUCGGAACAAGCUCACAGCGUGGCAAUAGCGAUAGAAGAAGACAUGCUGCUUGGAGAUUCAUCACUGCUGGAGGAAGCUGAGAGAGGGGCAAUGCCGUCAGGAGAAGGCGUGCUGCUUGGAGAUUCGUCACAGUCUCAGCUGCAAGAGAUCAGUGUUAACCAUGAGAGUAUGUUGGAAGAAGCUGACAUCGUGGCAAUAUCUAUUGGAGAAGAGGUUCUGCAUGGAGAUUCAUCGCUGCCGAAAGAAGCUGACAGCAGAGCAAUAUCUAUUGGAGAAGAGGUGCUGCAUGGAGAUUCAUCGCUGCCGAAAGAAGCUGACAGCAGAGCAAUACCGUCAGGAGAAGGCAUACUGCUUGGAGAUUCGUUGCAGUCUCAGCAGCAAGAGAUCAAUGCUAACCAUGAGAAUACGGCGGAAGAAGCUGACACCGUUGCAACACCGUUAGGACUUAGGAGAAGGCUUGGAGGUUCAUCCCUGCUAGAAGAAGCUGACAGAGUGGCAAUAUCGAUAGGAGAAAAAGUGCUGCUUGGAGACUCAUCGCUGCCGGAAGAAGCUAACAGGAUGGCAAUACCGUCAGGGGAAGGCUUACAGCUUGUACAUUCUCCGCAGCCUCAGCAGCAAGAGAUCACUAUUGACCAUAGUCCACACAUGUCGAUUGAUGAGUUGCUCAAGGUGAUAAAAGGAGCCAAUGGCAUGCCGGUGCUGUUUGUCCCCUCCAGCAAUGGCCGACUGGCAGCGGUAGCCGUGGAUGGCCUUCAGAGUCUGGUACCUGCCAAUCGCAGCAACGAAGAGUCUGCUGAAAAGAAGCACGAAGCUUUCUGUUCCUGGUUGAUGCUCCUGAUGUCACUGGUCGCCACCGUCACCUUCACCGCAGGGCUCACCCCACCCGGUGGUUUCUGGGCCGCCGACGACAAAUCCAACGGGCACGUCGCUGGUAUGUCAGUUAUGCGCAGCAAAUCUUACAGGAGGUACUUGAACUUUUACUACAGCAACACGACCGCUUUCUUCACAUCCUUGAUGAUCAUUGGAAUGCUCGCCAGAAACAUAAAUAACCUACAGAGCCCACUUACUUGA